rnacentral:lncRNA from 1 species
UAUCGUGAGUUCUGACUAAAUGGCAGGUUAUGGAUAAAUCGUCAAACCCCAUCAUCUGUCAUAUGAUAAAUUCUAUUAACUCAAGUCCAAUUGUGAUCCUCAUAAAAAUUUUUUUUCAUCAAUCACAUUGCUGUGGCCACAGACUCUCAGACCAAGCUUCUUAAAUCUCAUAGGACUACUCUUUUCUAUCAAAAUUGAUAGAUUUUAUUUAGAUGCG